rnacentral:rRNA from 1 species
GCAUAUCAAUAAGCGGAGGAAAAGAAACCCAACAGGGAUUGCCCCAGUAACGGCGAGUGAAGCGGCAACAGCUCAGAUUUGGAAUCUGGCCCCCAGGGCCCGAGUUGUAAUCUGGAGAGGAUGCUUCUGGCGCGGCGCCUUCCGAGUUCCCUGGAACGGGACGCCCGGAGAGGGUGAGAGCCCCGUACGGUUGGACGCCUAGCCUUUGUGAAGCUCCUUCGACGAGUCGAGUAGUUUGGGAAUGCUGCUCAAAAUGGGAGGUAAAUUUCUUCUAAAGCUAAAUACCGGCCAGAGACCGAUAGCGCACAAGUAGAGUGAUCGAAAGAUGAAAAGCACUUUGAAAAGAGGGUCAAACAGUACGUGAAAUUGUUGAAAGGGAAGCGCCCGUGGCCAGACUUGUGCCCCGCGGACCACCCGGCGCCCUCAGCGCCGGUGCACUCCGCGGGGCGCAGGCCAGCAUCGGUUUUCCUAGGGGGAUAAAGGCGGCGGGAACGUGGCUCCCUCGGGAGUGUUAUAGCCCGCCGCGCCAUGCCCCUGGGGGGACCGAGGACCGCGCUUCGGCAAGGAUGCUGGCGUAAUGGCCACCGGCGACCCGUCUUGAAACACGGACCAAGGAGUCAAGCAUUGGGGCGAGUGUCUGGGUGCCAAACCCGCACGCGAAAUGAAAGUGAACGCAGGUGAGAGCUUCGGCGCAUCAUCGACCGAUCCUGAUGUUCUCGGAUGGAUUUGAGUAAGAGCCUUACCGCUUGGACCCGAAAGAUGGUGAACUAUGCCUGUAUAGGGUGAAGCCAGAGGAAACUCUGGUGGAGGCUCGCAGCGGUUCUGACGUGCAAAUCGAUCGUCAAAUAUGGGCAUGGGGGCGAAAGACUAAUCGAACCAUCUAGUAGCUGGUUACCGCCGAA